rnacentral:rRNA from 1 species
AUUGAACGCUGGCGGCAGGCCUAACACAUGCAAGUCGAACGAGUGGCGGACGGGUGGGUAAUUUCUGGGACACCGCCCGAUGGAGGGGGAUAACUACUGGAACCGGUAGCUAAUACCGCAUACCAUCAGCUGUGCCCAGAUGGGAUUAGCUUGUUGGUGGGGUAACGGCUCACCAAGGCGACGAGCCCUAGCUGGUCUGAGAGGCUGACAAGCCAAGCUGGAACUGGGACACGGACCAGACUCCUACGUGAGGCAGCAGUGGGGAAUAUUGCACAAUGGGGGCAAGCCUGAUGCAGCCAUGCCGCGGGUAUGAAGAAGGCCUUCGGGUUGUAAAGUACGUUCAGCGGGGAGGCGUUACCCGCAGAAGAAGCACCGGCUAACUCCGUGCCAGCAGCCGCGGUAAUGC